AUGAGUCUCUGUGGGUCUGCCUGGAAAAGAGUGUCGACUGGUUUGGUGCCAACAUCCUUCACCAACAUCUUUUGUUCUGAAGAUGCCAGAGACUACUUCCACAGAGAAAAGGAUUCUUUUUUUUUUUCGAAUCAUCCUAAAAGUGAUUUUCCUCUUGAUAUCACUCUUCAUUUUUGCCUGUUCCUUGGACAUGCUCAGCAAUGCCUUCCAGCUGAUUUCAGGAAAAUUGGCUGGAGAAAUUUUCUUGGACCAUUCAAUACUUCACAACCCCAUAUCCGGCUCAACAAUAGGUUUGCUAGUGACUGCUGUGUUGCAGAGUUCCACCAUAGCCACAUCCAUCAUCAUCACCAUGGUGUCAUCUUCAAUGUUGAAAGUAAGUGCAGCAAUUCCCAUGCUCAUGGGAGCCAAUGUUGGGACUUCAAUCACUAA
rnacentral:lncRNA from 1 species